rnacentral:rRNA from 1 species
AUGGGGAUCGUGGAGGAGGCACACAACCUGCGGGUUGUCGGGGAGGGGAAGCGCGGAGUGAUCGUUCUUGCGCACGGCUUCGGCACGGACCAGUCGGUGUGGAAGCACCUGGUGCCGCACCUCGUCGCUGACUACCGCGUCGUCCUCUUCGACACCAUGGGCGCCGGGCCGACCAACCCAGACUACUUCGAUUUUUCCCGCUACGCCACGCUCGAGGGAUAUGCGCUCGAUCUGCUCGCCAUCCUGGAGGAGCUCGGGAUGGCCUCCUGCAUCUACGUCGGCCACUCCGUCUCCGCCGUAAUCGGCGUGCUCGCCUCCAUCUCCCGUCCCGACCUCUUCUCCAAGCUCGUACUCCUCUCCGCUUCUCCCAGGUACCUCAAUGAUGUGGAUUACUAUGGGGGAUUUGAGCAGGAGGAGCUUGAUGAGCUCUUUGAAGCGAUGAGAUCAAACUAUAAGGCCUGGUGCUCAGGUUUUGCACCACUCUGUGUUGGAGGGGACCUGGAAUCUGUGUCAGUUCAGGAGUUCAGCCGAACUCUCUUCAACAUUCGCCCAGACAUAGCCCUGAGCGUUGCCCAGACGAUCUUCCAGAGUGAUGUGCGCACCCUCCUACCGCUCGUCUCGGUCCCAUGCCAUAUCGUUCAGAGCACCAAGGACCUCGCAGUGCCAGUUGUGGUGUCAGAGUACUUGCACAAGCAUCUUGGUGGCGACUCCAUCGUUGAGGUGAUGCCCUCUGAGGGCCAUCUCCCCCAGCUUAGCUCACCGGACAUUGUCACCCCCGUAUUGCUCCGACACAUCCAGCAUGACAUUGCAUUCUAA